rnacentral:rRNA from 1 species
CCUACGGGCGGCAGCAGUGAGGAAUAUUGGUCAAUGGACGCAAGUCUGAACCAGCCAUGCCGCGUGCAGGAAGACGGCUCUAUGAGUUGUAAACUGCUUUUGUACGAGGGUAAACGCAGAUACGCGUAUCUGUCUGAAAGUAUCGUACGAAUAAGGAUCGGCUAACUCCGUGCCAGCAGCCGCGGUAAUACGGAGGAUUCAAGCGUUAUCCGGAUUUAUUGGGUUUAAAGGGUGCGUAGGCGGUCGGAUAAGUUAGAUGUGAAAUCCCGAGGCUCAACUUCGGAAUUGCCUCUGAUACUGUUCGUCUAGAGAGUAGUUGCGGUAGGCGGAAUGUAUGGUGUAGCGGUGAAAUGCUUAGAGAUCAUACAGAACACCGAUUGCGAAGGCAGCUUACCAAGCUACUUCUGACGUUGAGGCACGAAAGCGUGGGGAGCAAACAGGAUUAGAUACCCGGGUAGUC